CCUACGGGAGGCAGCAGUGGGGAAUAUUGCACAAUGGGGGAAACCCUGAUGCAGCGACGCCGCGUGAGUGAAGAAGUAUUUCGGUAUGUAAAGCUCUAUCAGCAGGGAAGAAAAAAGACGGUACCUGACUAAGAAGCCCCGGCUAACUACGUGCCAGCAGCCGCGGUAAUACGUAGGGGGCAAGCGUUAUCCGGAUUUACUGGGUGUAAAGGGAGCGUAGACGGCGCGGCAAGUCUGAAGUGAAAGGCAGGGGCUUAACCCCUGAACUGCUUUGGAAACUGCCAUGCUAGAGUGCUGGAGAGGUAAGUGGAAUUCCUAGUGUAGCGGUGAAAUGCGUAGAUAUUAGGAGGAACACCAGUGGCGAAGGCGGCUUACUGGACAGUAACUGACGUUGAGGCUCGAAAGCGUGGGGAGCAAACAGGAUUAGAUACCCCAGUA
rnacentral:rRNA from 1 species